rnacentral:lncRNA from 1 species
AGUUACAUUAGGUCCAGAAUAUCAAAUUUGGAUUAGUAGCAGUUUUGGUUUGGGUUCAGGGCCUUAAUUUGCAUAUUGACUCUUCAUUUGAAAAAUUGCCAAAAGGGGGUCUCGGGGGUUAAUUUUUUCCAACAAUCUUUUUUCAAAAAUCUGUCAUCGCCAUUAAGUUUGAAAUAAUGAAAAUAUCCUGGUAGCACAUAUAGUUUAUUCCUAUUGGGUCCCAAAUGAAUCUC